rnacentral:antisense_RNA from 1 species
CUUGACGGACCCCAGCCACAACGGCCGCCCGGCGGGCCGGUCCUGGCCGUAGGUGGCCAGCAGCGCCUGCGCCUC